GCUCGGCAUACGUCAGGAUCCAGAUCUAUUGUUGAGCAUACCAUUGAUCUGGAACGUGAGCUUGCCCGACAGCCUACAUGUAUGGAGAUUUUUCUGAAGACCCACAAGAAGAAGGAUGGGUCAUUUGUUGAUUCUCGAUCUCAAACUCUACAUCAAGAAAUGAC